rnacentral:piRNA from 1 species
UUCAAAGGCAUAACUAGAUAGGCUGAAUCGG